rnacentral:lncRNA from 1 species
CUUAUAGUGAACUAUCAUUAAGAUUGGUUCCAUUUCACUCCAAAAAACCUGCCGGACAAAAUAGGUGGAAGUAUAAUAAUAAUAAUAAUACAGAAAAAGAAACAGAGGAAAAGCAAUAUGUCACCCGACAUUGUCGAUCGGGUGAAUAAUAACUAGAAUUGCCAUUGCAAGCAAUAGCGGAUGUCACCCUUCCCCCAUUGCCACUAAGCGGCAG